GACGAACGCUGGCGGCGUGCCUAACACAUGCAAGUCGAGCGGGGAUUUAAGUGGAAGUUCUUCGGAAUGGAGAUUUAAAUUCUAGCGGCGGACGGGUGAGUAACGCGUGAACAAUCUGUCCCGGACAGGGGGAUAACACUUGGAAACAGGUGCUAAUACCGCAUAAGACAACGGCCUCGCAUGGGGCUGAGGUCAAAGGAGCAAUCCGGUUCGGGGUGAGUUCGCGUCCGAUUAGCUAGUUGGUGAGGUAACGGCCCACCAAGGCGACGAUCGGUAGCCGGCCUGAGAGGGUGAACGGCCACAUUGGAACUGAGAGACGGUCCAAGCUCCUACGGGAGGCAGCAGUGGGGAAUAUUGGGCAAUGGGCGAAAGCCUGACCCAGCAACGCCGCGUGAGGGAAGAAGGUUUUCGGAUUGUAAACCUCUGUCCUAUGGGACGAAGGAAGUGACGGUACCAUAGGAGGAAGCCCCGGCUAACUACGUG
rnacentral:rRNA from 1 species